AGCUGAAUUAGUGAGGAUGACUCCUGCUCCUGUCAUCUCUAAGCUCCUCACACAUCUUUACCUGCACAUGAGGAAAAUCACUCCUGUAGAAUGCAGAUGUUCAGAGGGAGAUGAUGCCACAUCUGGUCCAGCCGAUGGAAGGUCUUGAAGUUCUCUGACUGGCCUCGACUGAAGAUGGUCGUCUCACUGGAUUUAAGAUGCACAAUGAGGGACGUCUGCAGAGACUGAGAAAGAGUCUCACCACAUCCUGACAUGAGGAAAAAGACUUGAUUGAAGACUACAAUGAGAAAAACUAUCAGACAGCAGACGGCUGCAUUCAAGGCUACAAGAGGAGCCCUACGAGGACGAGCCGGUCCACCUGAUGGCGGCCAGUCGCUGCGGUUCAAAGCCAACACCGACUACGUGGACUUCUACUGGACCACACGGAGGCCUUCAAACCGGACCAACAAGUUCAGCGACUCCCCGACUCGUUGGUCUGAGGACGCCGCCGAGCCUCGGUCCAGCCGGCCUCCUG
ensembl:lncRNA